CGUAAGAUCUGCAAAAAAAAGCCUCCACUUUUCACCCUCGUGCACUUGGGAUUUACGUCAGUGACGGAAAGAGGCAGGAUUGCAUAAGCACGAACGACCUUCUACAAAGGGCCGACCGGGAGUGGCUGGAUGGACAAAUGCAAAGGUACACACAAGCACAUCGCACAGCCAUCGCUAUGCAUGAGGCCCUGACGGUUCUCUUUGUACACAUGCAGAUGAGAAGAGGGGAGAACAAGGAGUAAGAGAGGUAGUGGAAAAGAGGGUAACUUCAAGUGACACGAAAAGCGGUCGUACUCGUUAUUGGAGGAACUCACCGCAAGUGGUUGCUGUAGUUGAGAGGAGAAAGUUAUUUCGCUUCUUGGGCGGAUGGAGAUUUCUUCCGGAGAAAGCGGCUUUCACGGGGCCUGACAUUUCCCAAGCACCAGCCCGUGAGUGACUCACCUAUCCACUCCUGCCUCCCCAUUUUGAAGUCAUCCACGGAAAAGUAGUGGAACUCGUAGAGAUAGAUGGGCGCCGAGGUGUGGUGAGAGAGCAGAUUCAUUUCCUUCACGCAAGGCGCCUUCAGCCCCACGUCAGAGAUGAACUGAAAAAAGGUCAGGUCAACAGUCGGACAACUUCAAAAUUUACUUGUCUAAAAAUGUCUUUGUACUCGGAACAUAAUUCCGGUUAUCUGGAAUUACCCCUUAAGCAGAUGAGACAUGAAAACCGGUUUGAGAACAGCUUGAACUGUUUCAUCAGAAAAAUUUGAAAUUCGGAGAUAACGCCACGAGACUCGCGUAUUUAUUUUUAUGCGGCCCAUCUGCUUUUAAUGAUCUUUAUGUGGGUGAAGGAAUAUAAGGAGUUGAACUCAGCGGACGGAUGGUGCACAAUCGGGCAGACAUACAUGCAUCAGUCGACAUGGGAAACCCCACGACCAGCGAAAGAGAGCACUACAUCCUCAUCCUUCAUUUAAUCAGAGCUGCCCUGUCUGAAAAACGGACACAUUGUUCACCACCACGUAAAAGUGAGAGCCUGCCAGGGACGACUACACGAGACUUGCGACGAAAUAAGCAGGAGGAGGAACAACAAUGGGCAACAGAAUGAACUGAAUGAUGGAUUGUCUCAUAAUGUAAUCCUUUCAAUCUUCUCUCUCGCCUCUCCUCCUCCUUCACGUCCACCGCAAAUAAUGCAGAUUUGCAAGUCCGCACUCCUGCCUUUGUGGGGAGGAGAGCAUCAUAAGCCACCCGACAAAAAACUAAGCCAGGAGGCUAUUAAGCCACUGCUAACAAAGUGAGUGAGUACAAAGAGGAGGCAAGAGCUCUGCUGCUUCCGUCAUCAUUAAAAAAGCUCCCUGUUACCAAGGGCUGAGAGAAAGCAGGAGCCACACUUUCGCUCCUUCCUUCCGUCCUCGUCGUCUCUGGGGACGCUUAGCUAGUCCUCCAUCACUGAAGGGAAACCUCCUUCUUAAGCCCAUGCAUUCCAGCCACUCACUCCAGCCGCCCAGAGUGACGCUUAUACUUUACUCCUCCAGGUUUCGAGAGGUGUGCUUAUUUCCCCCUCGACGAAUCCGUGGCACAUGCACCCGAUGAGUUCUCAAUAGCUGUCACUCAUUGUCUGCAAGAAAAGGAAAGAAAGGGAAACGUACGUCGGAGAUGGACGAGGUCUUUCCCAAAGUGUCGUUCUCUCCAAUCCCUGCACGGUACAUCUGCAAAAAAGAAAAAAUACUGCACUCCAACAACACAUUUGCACAUUCCCGAGCUUGAUUUGGCCCUAUCACAUCACCUAAUUUGCAUACGCCUCGUCCGUUUAUCUGGUUACGAGGGAUGCUACGAGACACUUUUAUUUAUUUAUUGUGGGCUAGUGACAAUCACAAACGAGUGACAAAUUGACACGGCUUAUUCAAGAAUUUGGGAAAAUACCUUUACGACAAAAGUCAGGAAUUACUUCAAGUUUUGGAAACCUCUGUGAUUCAAGAGUGACUUUAUAAAAAUGCCGAGAAAAAGGGUACAUUACAGCAAAUCCAAGUGACAUGGCUUUCUCCACUCUCGGAUUUCUUUGUAGAAAAUGUUAGGGUUGUGAGUUGAAUGGAAUUCAAGUUUGGUUUAGCUUUUAAAUUAGUAUUUAGCAAAAUGUAUCACACAAGUGUUUUUGGCAAAAUAAGUUACUGUACGUGUAUGAAACUGCAAUUAAGCCAUCUGCACGUGGAACUUGAGAAAUUGUCAGCCAGCGAAUGAAGAACUCUACUUGUUACUUACGUACUGCACUGUCACCGAGUGGAUCAUGGCAGCCUGACACAGAGGAAAGAUGACAUUAUAGACACAUCAGCCAACUCUAAGCAGAAUGACAAUUCCAAGUGGUGGGAAAAUGUGAUACCAUGUUUGCUUGGGUGACGGUGGGCAGAUUCUCGAGCAGGCUAACCACAUCAACCUGCACAAAUGAGCGGAGGUCUUUCGUCUUUGUCGUCGGACCAACUUCAAAACAAAACAAGGAAAGAGCACUAAUUAGUCGGAAAGUAUGCUCAUCAAAGCCGUUCAAAUCGUCCGUGAACUCACAUUUGGUGAACCAAAUGGUAACUUCGUCCCUCGUGAAGCCGGUGAGUAUGGGCACGGGUUGAAAGUCCUUGGUUCGGAUAAGCUGCUCGGGAUGAUCCUUCAGGAAUUUGCCUCCAUAAGGCCCGUCGACCACGGUGGCAAAGGCCAGACUGGAGAGAGUCAAUUAGUCAACGGUGUGACUUUCAUGAUGUCAUAGCUAAAUAUGCAUGCACAAAUUUAUAGCUUUGUUGUCCAGCUACGUGCGUCUGUACCUGAGCCCGUCCUCCAGUUUAGCGUGCUGUUGGGUGACACGAGAAAAGUGGGUUGAUUAGGAUCGCAGGCAGGGUGUACUAAAUAACAAACACUGUCACGUCCUUUCUCACCUUCAUGAUCAGUUGUGGAGAAAAGUUUCGGACGCAGUCGACCAAGUCAUGGGUGGGGCUGGUGGGGCACCCAAGUUUGGUCGCCAGAGCCUCCGCGUGUUUUCUGGGAUUCGCCUGGAUGGCCCAAGGUGCUCUGAAGGGACAGAGAAUAAUAACCACCCACAAUUAAAGCACCCAACAAUAAAUUGGCCCCAAGGCCUCGACCUGCACAAGUCCAACUGCAAGACAAUCCUUACCCCGAGCAGCCCGACUGCACCGUGACGCCCACAAACUUCCCUGCAAGGAAAGGAAACAAGACCUGUAAACAGGGCAGAAUGGCCACCAAGCACCCACGAGGAAGGAAAGGUAUGAAAUUCCAAAGGCAGCUUUCAUUUUAUGAGACUCAUCCGCAUUCCUCUUCCGCCUCCUCCUCUCCAUUUAUUAUCCUCACACACACAGAGAAGAUCACUAAUCCACUGCUGCUGCUGGACAACGGGCGAGCGAGCUUUACGUAAUAAACUGGACAGAGUGGAAUGUGUCCUAUUUAUAUAGAUUUUUAUACCCGUGGAGUCCGCACCGACGGAAUGAUGGGCAGGACAAGGGGCUCAUUUAGUUUAGCAGCAGCAGCAGCGUGGUUGGAGUAGGGGAGAAAGGAGAGUUGGAUUACUGGAGACGAGAGAGAGCUCAGGAUAAGAAAUGAGAUUAACGUCAUCCAGCUCAGACUUUCUCUCUCUCGCUCUCAUUAGUGAGCUGGAUAAUUACACGGUCAUUUGACACCACUAAUGGCAACAUAAUCCCAUUACGUCGUGUCCAACCAAGCAGCCAGCCCAUGAGCCGAGACGUACUUACUUCUCUUCACAUUAUCAUUCGAACCAAGGGAGACGACGACGACGACACUUUGACAUCAACUUCAAAAACUCGACUCAAGAAGAGAGUCAAAACUUGGGAAAAAACUUUACUUGCCUUUCGAAAGCCCUGAAAACAUGUGGAACAUGACGGACGCGGCGCCGGCACUGUUGCCCACCAACGUUACACGUCCCGGGUCUCCUCUAAAGUGAUGGAUAUGUUGGUGCACCCAGUCCAAGGCGAUCGCUGCAAAAGUAAACAUGACCUUAAUUUUGCUGACCAGAGUGUAGAAGAACUUGGGGGUCGGUCAGCCUACAAACCUUGAUCUAGCAGCCCAUAAUUUCCAGAGGCGGCCGCGUCCCCCGUGCUGAGAAAUCCUAACGGUCCGAGUCGAUAGUUGAAGGUGACGACGACGAGGUGCUGGCUGGAGGCGAUGACUUGUCCGGGGUACAGCCGCCCCGCAUUCAUGUAGUAGGACCCUGUGAAUUUACGGCUUUUAUCAUUAACCCACAAAUAAAUAGUCUUUUGAUAAACUGUA